GAUGAACGCUGGCGGCGUGCUUAACACAUGCAAGUCGAACGGAAAGGCUCCUGCUUGCCGGCGUACUCGAUUGGCGAACGGGUGAGUGACACGUGGGGGAUCUGCCCUGCACUUCGUGAUAAGCCUGGGAAACUGGGUCUCAUACCGGAUAGGACCACAUUUUGGGUGGUGUGGUGGAAAGUUUUUCGGUGUGGGAUGGGCUCGCGGCCUUUCAGCCUGUUGGUGGGGUAGUGGCCUACCAAGGCGUCGACGGGGAGCCGGCCUGAGAGGGUGUACGGCCACAUUGGGAUCGUGCGACGGCCCAGAGUCGGACGGGAGGCAGCAGGGGGGAAUAUUGGACAAUGGGCGCAAGCGUGAGGCAGCGACGCCGCGUGGGGGAUGACGGCUUUUGUGUUGUAAACUCAUUUGGCUAGGGACGAAGCGUCUUUGUGACGGUACCUGGAGAAGAAGCACCGGCUAACUACGUG
rnacentral:rRNA from 1 species